AUUGAACGCUGGCGGCAUGCUUUACACAUGCAAGUCGAACGGUAACAGGGAGCUUGCUCCGCUGACGAGUGGCGAACGGGUGAGUAAUGCGUCGGAACGUGCCGAGUAGUGGGGGAUAACGCAGCGAAAGUUGUGCUAAUACCGCAUACGUACUGAGGUAGAAAGUGGGGGACCUUCGGGCCUCACGCUAUUCGAGCGGCCGACGUCUGAUUAGCUAGUUGGUGAGGUAAAGGCUCACCAAGGCGACGAUCAGUAGCGGGUCUGAGAGGAUGAUCCGCCACACUGGGACUGAGACACGGCCCAGACUCCUACGGGAGGCAGCAGUGGGGAAUUUUGGACAAUGGGCGCAAGCCUGAUCCAGCAAUGCCGCGUGCAGGAUGAAGGCCUUCGGGUUGUAAACUGCUUUUGUACGGAACGAAACGGCGAGCUCUAAUACAGUUUGCUAAUGACGGUACCGUAAGAAUAAGCACCGGCUAACUACGUGCCAGCCGCCGCAGUAACAC
rnacentral:rRNA from 1 species